AAGGAAGACAUCUUAAAAACUCUUAUACUAGCAAGUGGCCUGAAUGUAUUAAAUGUAUUCAAAACUGGACCAAUAAUUAAACUGGGCCUAGCCUUCCAAAUGGCUGACUAGCUAUCAUCAUCAUGUUGGCUAUAUCUGGGGCUACUUCAGAGACUGCAUGUGACUUUCACUACUUUCCUUCUUCUUCCCUUUGGGUAGAAAGAGGAUCCUGGCUCUUUCCCUCCCCCCAACUUAAUUCUUCUCUACAAACAAGACUAAGCAUAACCAAAAUUUUUCUCUAAAAUAAAGAGCAGUUAUGAUGGCACAAAUUGCACCAGUACCAAAAAAGGAAAAAAUUAUUCAAUUAUUCCAAUAAUUCAUGUUUAAGGUACACCUUAAUUUUAGAAUUUAUUAGGAUAAUGGCCAUUGUUCCUUUAGUUUUCCAGAUAGAUUCUUGCUUUCUGUUGUACUUCAUUAAUGCUCUUUAUUCAAACUUAAUAUUUCCUCUCAAAAAUUUCUGUUCUGGAUUAAAAAGUAUCAUAUACCAAACCAUAUGAUAAACUAAAUUUGGUGAUUUAAAAACUCUGAAAUGUUGCUAUGAAGGACAGAUUGCUUGAUAGGAAAAGAAAAUUUGGCCAAUACACGAGAGAGGUCCCACAAGCAUCUGUUUGAAAGUCAAGCAUAUGUUCAGUUGGUUUAUUUUUCUUCUUAGAGCUACCAAAAUGUAACUCUUUUUAAGUGGAAGUCUAAAGAGCCUCCGAGAAAAAGAAAAAAAAUCCAGAUUUUGCCUCUUUGUCCUACAAACAGUUAUGUUCAAAAGCUAAAUGCCAUAUAAUUACUAAACAGUACUGCAUAUUGAUUUUCUUGAAAAUUCUUCUAAUUUUAUAAGAGGAAUCAAAAUGGCCCAUAAAAAGCAAUUUUUGGUUGCAGUUGUUACAGAAAGGGGGAUGAUCCAAUCAUCCCCCUUUGCUGCCACCUGUUGUCCCACCAGAGGAAUUACACAUUUGUAGAUUUUUUUUUCCUUUUCCCAUAAAAUAAACAAAUUCAUUGUUUUCAAUGUUAUAAUCAGAUUAUCUUCAUGAUACUCUUUUGCACAGGGAAUCUUUUUGUCUCUAACAGUUGGGGAAACAAGUUUUUAAGUACACACACAUGACCAUACAGAUUUAGAUAUUCCCCGACAUUUGUAGCAGACAAGAUUGUAGUAGACAAGAAACAAAGAAAGUCUAUGGUUUCUACCCAAAACGGCUUGUAAAAUAAUUUCCAUAAAGUAAAGGCACCUAGUGUAAAGACAGCACUCUUAGUCCUGGUAGUAGCCUUAAAAUUCAAGAUUCCCCGUGUCCCCAGUCCCCUAACUCCAAUUGCUGUGUAUGGGGUACUGUUCUAAAGACUG
rnacentral:lncRNA from 1 species